AGUUCGGAUUGUAGGCUGAAACUCGCCUACAUGAAGCUGGAGUUACUAGUAAUCGCAGAUCAGAAUGCUGCGGUGAAUGCGUUCCCGGGUCUUGUACACACCGCCCGUCACACCACGGGAGUUGGAGACGCCCGAAGCCGAUUAUCUAACCUUUUGGAAGAAGUCGUCGAAGGUGGAAUCAAUAACUGGGGUGAAGUCGUAACAAGGUAGCCGUAUCGGAAGGUGCGGCUGGAUCACCUCCUUUCUAAGGA
rnacentral:rRNA from 1 species